GAUGAACGCUAGCGGCAGGCUUAACACAUGCAAGUCGAGGGGUAUAGUUCUUCGGAGCUAGAGACCGGCGCACGGGUGCGUAACGCGUAUGCAAUCUACCUUUUGCAGAGGGAUAGCCCAGAGAAAUUUGGAUUAAUACCUCAUAGUAUGUGAGAAUGGCAUCAUUUUCACAUUAAAGUCACAACGGCAAAAGAUGAGCAUGCGUCCCAUUAGCUUGUUGGUAAGGUAACGGCUUACCAAGGCAACGAUGGGUAGGGGUCCUGAGAGGGAGAUCCCCCACACUGGUACUGAGACACGGACCAGACUCCUACGGGAGGGAGCAGUGAGGAAUAUUGGACAAUGGGCGCAAGCCUGAUCCAGCCAUGCCGCGUGCAGGAUGACGGUCCUAUGGAUUGUAAACUGCUUUUGUACAGGAAGAAACACUGGUUCGUGAACCAGCUUGACGGUACUGUAAGAAUAAGGAUCGGCUAACUCCGUGCCAGCCGCCGCAGUAACAC
rnacentral:rRNA from 1 species